rnacentral:piRNA from 1 species
UAGGCUAUCAUAGAUCCUUGAAAAUGAGC